rnacentral:misc_RNA from 1 species
GAUGAAGAACGCAGCGAAAUGCGAUAAGUAAUGUGAAUUGCAGAAUUCAGUGAAUCAUCGAAUCUUUGAACGCACAUUGCGCCCCCCAGUAUUCUGGCGGGCAUGCCUGUUCGAGCGUCAUUUCAACCAUCAAGCCCUGCUUGUGUUGGGGUCCUGCGGCUGCCCGCAGGCCCUGAAAACCAGUGGCGGGCUCGCUAGUCACACCGAGCGCAGUAGCACAUCUCGCUCAGGGCGUGCGGCGGGCUCCAGCCGUUAAAGCACCCACCUUUCGCAAGGUUGACCUCGGAUCAGGUAGGAAUACCCGCUGAACUUAAGCAUAACAAUAAGCGGAGGA